UUUUUUCGUAUUAUUUUGGACUUAAACUCGGGGGAGGAUGAGUGACGUCGAAAGGGCCCACAAUCUCCACCUCACGUACAAACGAACGGACUCCCCCCCUUCCCCCCUCUCUCUCUUAAUCAUCCUGGCUCUCCUCACAGCUUCUCGGUGAGACAGAGAAAGGGGAAGAAGAGAGAGAGAUUGAGAGGGAUGACGCGAGGGAAGCAGAAGAUCGAAGCGCAGAGGCGGAACGCAGAGAGGAACCAGAAGCCCAAGGGAUCUCAGUUUGAGGCUCGUGCUGUUGCCCUCAAAAUCACUUGUCCUAUCUGCAAAGUGCAGCUAGCAAAUCAGAACCAGCUUGGUGAUCACUACUCGUCCAAACAUCCAAAGGAAAAGCCGCCUUCUGAUUCGGGUUGAUUUUUUCACUUAUCAAAAUAACGAGCUAUCCAUGUGUGUUUUCUGAACUUAUAGAAAUUCAUAUGUCAACUGCUACAUAUCUGAAUCAAAAGCCUCUUGACUUGCUUCUGUCUGUA